GACAGUGCUUAGAGAAACACUAAUUCUGUGACUCUGCUGGAGACCUGGGUGUUUGGUCUGCAGACAGCUUGAUCAACAACGGACACUUGCAAACCUCAGAGGCUAUCAAACCACCAUCACAACCUGUGGCUCCAGCUUGCUCCCUCCUUCAGCCAAGGAAUUGCUCUAUUGCUCAGAGCGAUUGCAGUGUGGCAUCACUGCUCGCCCUUAGCCUGUGCCACUUGUUAAAGACUGAGAACAUGGGAAUAUGGGUUGUUUUCUGCCAACAGAGGGUGGAAAGGAAAGAUGAGCCACUUCAAGCAAAGGUCCUGCUGAGACUGUGCAAAGAGUCAGGUUGUUUUGGAGGCAGGAGAAAAACAACUGCUCCUUCCUUCCUCUUGGAAAUGAUUUUGCCUUGGCCCAGCCUUUACAAAAUGGAAUUAGAAAGCCCUGCUGAGCAUUGGGAGCUGGCGGGAGCCAUCAUCCAGCCAAUUCAUCAUAACAGGAGCUCAGUAUCUAAUAAGCAGCACUUCUUUCUGUGUACCCCACGUGGGAAAACUGCUGAGGAAACCUUACAGGUGGGUCUGGAGAGCCAGGCUAACCAUGAAUGUCUUAAUUGUGGCAGAACC
rnacentral:lncRNA from 1 species